AUGGAAAAAAUGGAUAAGAGUGUGUUGCUUGUAAUGCUACUUUUGGUGAUAUAUUUUGUUGGUCAUGGUUAUGGCUCUAGACACACUCAAGUUUUCAAAGUGUAUCCUAAAACUAAGUCUUUGGAUUCAAAUAUCUUUGGUUUGUUGCCAAAAGGAAUGGUUCCACCUUCAGGGCCUUCUAAGAAGCAUAAUGAGAUUGGAUUACAAAGUUCAAUUGGAAAACCAUAG